GUCCGGGGACGUUGCAUCUCGGUGGCUGCAAAAGUUGAUUCACCAAGGUCGUUUGUUGUGUGAGAGUGCUCGUCAACUUUAUAACUUGCCGGGACAAGUGUUGGUCUCCAUUUGGGUUGGAAGAGCUUGGAAGGAAUGCGUCUCCUUGAGUAAUGGAAAGUAUGGUAGACUCCGGGCGUGAGAUGUAAGUUAAGAAAUGUCAUAUUCGUAUAGAA
rnacentral:lncRNA from 1 species